rnacentral:lncRNA from 7 species
AAUCUUUGGUGCAACAAGUUUCUCAAAUGCAUACACAACAGAUGAUGCAAACACUAUGGAUGCAAGAGAUGUGCGGUGGAAUCGUUCCUCAAGUCGGCAUGCCUCCUUUUGCGUCGUCGCCUAUCAUCCAACAGCCGUCACAGCCAAGAGGGUGCUGCCUCAGAAGGGCAAGAGCAGCAGAUGCAGCGGACAGCUCCACAAGGUCCUUUCCCGCCUCCUUCUCAGCUAGAAACACAUAUGUAGUGGAUAGCUACGCGGGGUGCUUUCCCGACUCCUCAGCUAGGCACAUCGAUGUAGAGUAGUGGACUGCUCCACAGAGUGCUUUUUCGUCAUCUUCUCAGCCAGGGACAGCUCACUGGCCGUUCGGACCGACGCAGUGGGGCGUUGGACCGCAAGGGUUUUGUCGGUGUUCGACCUCCAGUCCAACAGCAGCACUGCCACACCCAUCCCUAGAGGAGGUAUGCUACUUUAGUUUGAACAAAUUAGAGCCUAAACUGAUAUUUUCAACUAACUUUGUAACAUAUCUUGUAUUUUGUAGAGUUUAACUUCUCGUCAUGUUACACCUCAUACCCCGAGCGAGACCACUCUCACAUUAGUGGGAGUGGCUACGUGUUACACGACACUUUAACUUCUUUGAUCAUUUGCUUUACUUAUUUCGUUUGCUCGAUUGGACUAGU